AUAAGGUAUAGGAAAGAAGGCAAUUCUUUCUUUUUUUUCAUUUUUGAUCUAUAAAUUGAGUUGUUAAUGAAUCCGCUUCAUUCGCCGACUCUAUUUCAUUCGCUGAAUAUAUAUGAUAUUUCUUUUCUUUGAAACACAAAUUCUAUAACAAGGUUUGAGACCUUGUGUUUGUAUCUAUUUAUCUUUUUUAUACUAGUGGAAUUUCAUUGUAUUGGGUUCUUUCUUAGAUCUAAAUGGAGUGGAAUAGCCAAAUAAAAAAAAGGCCUUUCAUAUAAAAAUGUAAGAAUAUUAUGC
rnacentral:lncRNA from 1 species